AGCGUAGACGGCGACGCAAGUCUGAAGUGAAAGGCGGGGGCUCAACCCCUGGACUGCAUUGGAAACUGUUAGUCUUGAGUGCCGGAGAGGUAAGCGGAAUUCCUAGUGUAGCGGUGAAAUGCGUAGAUAUUAGGAGGAACACCAGUGGCGAAGGCGGCUUACUGGACGGUAACUGACGUUGAGGCUCGAAAGCGUGGGGAGGCAAAACA
rnacentral:rRNA from 1 species